GCGUCGCUAGUUUAAUUGGCAAAACCGCAGGCUUUUACCCUGUCAGACUCUCGGUUCGAAUCCGAGGCGGCGCAC
rnacentral:tRNA from 1 species